rnacentral:lncRNA from 1 species
UUUGAAUUAAUUAACAUGACAAUAUUGAAAAAAAAUUAGUAUAUACCAAAUUUGUCAGUAUCCUUUAAAUAUUAAAUAUCUUAUUUACUUUGAUAACUUACCAAAUUAGAUGAUACCCAAUUUAUUAAGUAUUCAUCUCAAAAAAAUAUUGAAUUUAAAUUUAAUUUUUGAAAUUAGUAUUGUAAUGUAAAAUUUUAAUUUUGAAAUUUAUAUUAAACUUUUAAAUUUGAAUCUAAAUUGAACGUUUAAUCUUAAAGCCAAAUUUUAAUUUUUGAUUUAAAUUGAAAUUUUGAAUUGGAACAAAAAGUUUUAUUUUAAAUUUAUGUUUUAUAUUCAAAAAAAUUAAAUUUGAUUUAUAAAGUUUUAAAUGUUGUUUUGAAUUUAAAUUUACAGUUUGGUUGUAAUUUAAAAUUCAACUAUUGUUAUAGGUAUUUAAAGGUCAUAAUAUUCUUAGUUGGAUAAAACCGGUUUUGUGGACCAAACUAUUUUAUAAAGACUAAAAUACCCUUUAAAUGGGUACCCGGUGAAUGGUACCUAUGCUUCAAUAGCAGGUCACCUCUAGAAUCAUAUUAAAUCUAAACCAUCUAUUAAGAAAAAUAAAUGGUCAAGAUUUAUAUGGAGUAUUGAAGUAUUCCUCAUAUAUAUAUAGAGUCCGGCUACCUUACUCUUAUGAGUACCAUCGCCUUCGUACUCAUAAAUUAUUUUACGAUCACCUUCGUACUCAUAAAUUAUUUUCGAUGAUAGAGCUUCCGAAUUAGCGAUCCAUACCAUUAAAUAUUAUCUAGAGUACUUAAAACUUCUAGAAAUCAAAUUUUAGAAUUUUUCGAUAUUAUUUACCUUACGAUCAAAAGCUCACAAAAUUGACAAUUUUUAACGGCCAAUAUGAGAUAUUUGCUAGUUUAACAGUGAAAAAGAAUCUAAAUUGGUUGAAUUUUUGAUAGAAAAUUCUAUUUGCUACCUAAAUAAAGAUUAAUAACUCCGAUCUUAAAUUGAAGGAUCCGAUCAUCCAUUUUUAGGAUGUCGUUCGAUUUUGACCGUUCAUUUUAUACCCGCUUGAUGGACUUUAUAAUGAUUUCGAAAAAUUACGAAAUUUAUUUUUUAGAAGUUUCAAAUACUCUAGAUCAUAUUUAACGGAGUGGAUCGUCGAUUUGAAAACCCCAACAUCGAAAACAACUUAUAAGUACGAAGGGCACUAUACUCAUAAGAGUAUAGUAGUCUUACUCUCUCUCUCUCUCUCUCUCUCUCUAUAUAUAUAUAUAUAUAUAAGAGUCCGGCUACUAUACUCUUAUGAGUACGAUCGCCUUCGUACUCAUAAGUUAUUUUCGAUGAUAGAGCUUCCGAAUCGACGAUCCAUACCGUUAAAUNAAUAUUAUCUAGAGUACUUAAAACUUCUAGAAAUCAAAUUUUAGAAUUUUUCGAUAUUAUUUACCUUACGAUCAAAAGCUCACAAAAUUGACAAUUUUUAACGGCCAAUAUGAGAUAUUUGCUAGUUUAACAGUGAAAAAGAAUCUAAAUUGGUUGAAUUUUUGAUAGAAAAUUCUAUUCACUACCUAAAUAAAGAUCAAUAACUCCGAUCUUAAAUUGAUGGAUCCGAUCAUCCAUUUUUAGAAUGUCGUUCGAUUUUAACCGUUCAUUUUUUAUCCACUUGAUGGACUUUAUAAUGACUUCGAAAAAUUACGAAAUUCAUAUAUUUUCUAGAAGUUUCAAAUACUCUAGAUCAUGUUUAACGGUAUGGAUUGUCGAUUCAAAAAUCCUAAUAUCGAAAACAACCUAUGAGUACGAAGGGCUCUAUAGUCAUAAGAGUAUAGUAGCCCUACUAUAUAUAUAUAUAAAUUUGAGCUUCUAUAUUUUUAAAAGCACCAAGUCAUUGAUAUUUAUAAUUUUUGGAUUUUGGGAUGAAGAUUUAUAGGGCUGGGAUAAUAAUGGUCUCCUAAAGUGAGUGAUUGGUAAAAUAGUAUAAUCUAAAUAGUGGAAUUGACCAAAAAUAUAUAUCUAACGGUAAAAAACUUACAAUCAUAAAAUGCUUAGUGCUUUUUUAAAGCACCAUAACCGCAC